CAUGGCGGAUGCUUACCAUGGAAGUCGGACGGGGUCUAGGAGUUACCACUGAGUUUUCGCAGAGGUAAUGAGACUAGCGGUAAAUACGAAGUAUUUGCCACGCGUAAAAGAGUGCUAACUCAAGUGAAGGCUGAGUGGUAAUUUUUAGACCUAGUGGCAAACGGGUGAGUAACGCGUAGACAACCUGCCUUUCGGAUGGGGACAACAGAUCGAAAGAUUUGCUAAUACCGAAUGAAAUGGAAGCUCCGCAUGGAGCGAACAUCAAAGACGGCCUCUAUUUAUAAGCUGUCGCUGAAAGAUGGGUCUGCGUCUGAUUAGCUAGUUGGUGAGGUAAUGGCUCACCAAGGCAACGAUCAGUAGCCGGUCUGAGAGGAUGAACGGCCACAUUGGGACUGAGACACGGCCCAAACUCCUACGGGAGGCAGCAGUGGGGAAUCUUCCACAAUGGACGAAAGUCUGAUGGAGCAACGCCGCGUGAGUGAAGAAGGUCUUCGGAUCGUAAAGCUCUGUUGUCGGGGACGAAUGUUCAUAACUAUAAUACGGUUAUGGAAUGACGGUACCUGACGAGGAAGCCACGGCUAACUACGUGCCAGCAGCCGCGGUAAUACGUAGGUGGCGAGCGUUGUCCGGAAUUAUUGGGCGUAAAGGGAGCGCAGGUGGGAAGGUAAGUCUUUCUUAAAAGCCCGGGGCUUAACCCCGGGAGGGGAAAGAAACUAUCUUUCUUGAGUGCAGGAGAGGAAAGCAGAAUUCCUAGUGUAGCGGUGAAUGCGUAGAUAUUAGGAGGAAUACCGGGUGGCGAUGCGGCUUUCUGGGACUGUAA
rnacentral:rRNA from 1 species